rnacentral:rRNA from 1 species
UACGUAGGGAGCAAGCGUUGUCCGGAAUCAUUGGGCGUAAAGCGCGCGUAGGUGGCCCCGUAAGUCCGCUGUGAAAGUCAAAGGCUCAACCUUUGAAAGCCGGUGGAUACUGUGGGACUAGAGUACGGAAGAGGCGAGUGGAAUUCCUGGUGUAGCGGUGGAAUGACGCAGAUAUCAGGAGGAACACCAAUAGCGAAGGCAGCUCGCUGGGGCUGCGCUGACGCUGAGACACGAAAGCCAGGGAGCGAACGGG